rnacentral:tRNA from 1 species
GCCGGCGUAGCUCAGCUGGUAGAGCACCGGUUUUGUAAACCGGAUGUCGUGGGUUCGAGUCCCUCCGCCGGCU